rnacentral:rRNA from 1 species
CAAUAGCGUAUAUUAAAGUUGUUGCGGUUAAAAGCUCGUAGUUGGAUUUCUGUCGAAGACGUCCGGUCCGCUCUAUGAGCGUGUAUCUGGUUCGGCUUUGGCAUCCUCGUGGGGAACGCUACUGUGCUUGAUUGCAUGGUGCGGUAUUCACGACUUUUACUUUGAGGAAAUUAGAGUGUUCACGGCAGGCAAGCGCCUUGAAUACAUUAGCAUGGAAUAAUAAUAUAGGACUUUGGUUCUAUUUUGUUGGUUUCUAGAACUAAAGUAAUGAUUAAUAGGGAUAAUUGGGGGCAUUUGUACUAUCGAGUCAGAGGUGGAAUUCUUGGAUUUCGAUAUGACAAACUACUGCGAAAGCAUUUGCCAAGGAUGUUUUCAUUGAUCAAGAACGAAAGUAUGGGGAUCGAAGAUGAUCAGAU